UAUACAACUUUCAGCAACGGAUCUCUUGGCUCUCGCAUCGAUGAAGAACGCAGCGAAAUGCGAUAAGUAAUGUGAAUUGCAGAAUUCAGUGAAUCAUCGAAUCUUUGAACGCACCUUGCGCUCCUUGGUAUUCCGAGGAGCAUGCCUGUUUGAGUCUC
rnacentral:rRNA from 1 species